GUUAAGUGAUGACGUCACAGUUCCUUCGAUACGCAUAGCAACGAUCCCACUGGGGACAAACAAAAGUAGCGUCGUCUCCACCGAACCAGUUGUCAGUGGCAACAUAUAGGAAUCGUGUACAUUUCUUCGUUUCUUCUUUGCUGUUUUCAGUGAGUGUUUUGUUUUCUCUUUGUCCUUGAUCUCGACGGCGUUGUCGUGCUCAUUACCUUACUGAGACGUCUCUUGUGACUGUAGCCAGUGUCACGGAGGAUUUUAUUGGCGUGACGAGGUAGAUCGCCGAGAUCGAGCGUGAAAAACGCUCUGCAUUAGUAGCUCCUGUAGAAUGUCUUCUGGGAUGGCGUAUCCAUGGUCAACAAAGCCAAGGUGCAAGACAGCAUAAGAGAUCGUGUAAACGAUGUGAACUCCAAAAGGUUCAAGGCUAGAUGCACUUCACAUUCGGCGUGGGAUCUCGGCGUCUGGGACCUGAUAACGUCUUGGUUGCCGGGAUGGGUAAUCAAGGAUGAUACUACUCGGCACACCAAUGUACAUGUCAAUGUAGUUUUUACUUUUUCAGAGCUGCACUAUUUACGUCUUGAUGCUUACUUCGGUGCUAGUGUCGUGUCCGUGUGUUGCUACAAUGUCAUUAUCUGUAUUGUAUUCCGUCUGCUUAUACAUGUGUCUUUAUGAAGUGUUUGCCGUGGCGGCGAUGUGUCUUGUCGAUCAAUAGUGUUGUGAAACCUAUCACUAUUCAUGCUUUGCUGGCUACUCGCUCGCUCCGCGCCGUGCACGCUACUAGGUCUUGUAUAUAGCUCGAUGCUUUGCAUCGAUCGCUGGUUGUUGUUCUUGUUGCUUCUCUUUUGUUUGAGCUUGGUCCUAGAGUGAAGCUUUGAUCUGCUUGUGUGGUGAGGGUGAGGAAUGGGUAUCUGGAUUCCUGGUAUAUUUCCGUAAAGAACCUGGAAUUGUAGAAUCCUGAGAGUAUGUCUGGCCCACUCCCCGGUCAUGACAUUAGCGUGUUUCCCCCGGAUUAUUUCUAUCAUCCUGCAUGUUCUUGGGCUGAGCGAGCACAUGCACGAGUGUGCAGCUAUAACCCUGUGUAUCUUUGGUUACACUUUGUUCUGCAAUGCAUGUACCUUGUAACAGUCUGUGCUUGCACUGCUUUGUGUGACUAUUCAGUGCAUCAGACCCAGGUUGGUUUGGUUGCCGGAUGAUCUCUUGUUGCGUCGCUCUGUGUUUUGUAUUCAUCAAUUUUUCGGCUUGAGAAUUGAGCUGGUGUGUGGUUCCCAAUAUGAAAACAUCAUGCUGGUGCUCUGUG